rnacentral:rRNA from 1 species
CUGGGUUAGUCGGGACCUAAGGAGAGACCGAAAGGUGUAUCCGAUGGACAACAGGUUGAUAUUCCUGUACUAGAGUAUGUAGUGAUGGAGGGACGCAGUAGGCUAACUAAAGCAGACGAUUGGAAGUGUCUGUCUAAGCAGUGAGGUGUGAACUGAGUCAAAUGCUUAGUUCUAUAACAUUGAGCUGUGAUGGGGAGCGAAGUUUAGUAGCGAAGUUAGUGAUGUCACACUGCCAAGAAAAGCUUCUAGCGUUUAAACAUACUCUACCCGUACCGCAAACCGACACAGGUAGUCGA